rnacentral:lncRNA from 1 species
UUUUUUUUUUUUUUUUUUUAAAGAUUUAUUUAUUUAUUAUAUGUAAGUACACUAUCUUCAGACACUCCAGAAGAGGGCGUCAGAUCUUGUUACGGAUGGUUGUGAGCCACCAUGUGGUUGCUGGGAUUUGAACUCCGGACCUCUGGAAGAGCAGUCGGGUGCUCUUACCCACUGAGCCAUCUCACCAGCCCCAGUUUAACUUUCAAAGCAAAGGCCUUGAUAGAAUUCUUGGAGCUUAAAACAAGCAUGAAGCGCUUUUCUUGAAAAGGUCAAAGCCAGCAUUAGGUGAAAGGAUGUUCUGAAAUGGAUCUUGAAAGAUCCUGCCAGGCACUGUAGGUUAGAAAAAGAGGUUCCCUCGGGUCUACAGAAUCUGAUUCAUUGACUACGUUAUGCUUUUCACUUGACAGAGUGACCAAGAGAAUAGCCUCUUCUGUUGUCUUUCUCACCAGUUUCUGCCUUUCCUGUUAGGCUGUUGUUUCUAAUGCUAAAGAGCUCUCGUGAGUUCUUUAUGUUUAUAUAAAGUCCGCUCUUCCUGAUUUCAGCUUAUUCCAUUGUUUAUUUUCAACUAUAUGUGUUGAUGAAAUGAAGAUGUGCAGGGUUGUUGCUAUGUGUGCACAGGCUCCUCGCCUCUGACCGCGCUGUUUCUGAAGUGUAACCUGCCUGUUUACACCUCCAGUGUUCCCGGUCCACUAGAUUACUCCCUCAGCUAUAAACACGCUAGCAGUGUGGCUGGUCUUAAACAGUACACAUUCACAUAUAUGAGGCAUAUAGACAUAAAUGCAGACAAAGCAUCCAUAUACAUAAUGUAGAUUGAAAUGUAUAUAGGAUUAUAUUCACACAAAUAGGACAUGGAUCAUCAACUAUUAAAAUAUGAGUACUUUUGUGCCAUUUCUGGUCUAGAAUGAGCUAACCCAUGUAGUCAUGUUGCAAAAAUUAAUGGCUUAUUAGUUCACUGACUUAUUAAUAGGGUUUGGAACCAUUAUUCUGAAUAAUUGAUAAGGACAAAAGCCCUAGUCAGUGUGAAUAUCAUCUUGACAAAGAGAGAGCAAAAAGGGGGUGGGGAAUAGUGAAGAUCUAUGCGUGUUAGAAAGGGGGGGGCUUGUGAAGAUGUGUGCAUGCUAAAAUGUAGCAGUGUAGGGUGUUCAGGAAGGUACAUUAAGGUUUUGCUUUUUGGAACUAGAUAAAGAAAAGCUACAGGGAAAGUCUCAGUCACCUGUGCUGGCUUCUGAGGUAAAGAGACAGACUGACCGUUCCUAACACAUUUGAAAGCCAAAAACUUUUCACUAAUAACAUGACACUCAAAGUUGCCAGCUUUUGGAGUAUUUGAUAUUUAUAGAUGAGAAGUGGGGGUUUUUCGGGGGAGGGGGUAGAGGUAGGGGCAUGGGGUUUGCUUCAAGACAGGGUUUCUCUGUAUAUACCUUGCUGUCCUGGAACUCACUCAGUAGACUAGGCUUGUCUUAAACUCACAAGCGAUCUGCCUGCCUCUGACUCCCAGUGCUGGGGCUGAAGGCGUGCACUACCAGUUCCUGGCUAGACUAGGAAUCUUACCCAGUCGAUGCAAAUAUUACAAAGUUCCCAGGGGCCCAAGCCAAGCUGGGUGUGGCAUGGCAGCACAUGCCUUUGCUCCCAGCACUAGGGAGCAUACAGAGGCAAAUCUUUUUAGGUUCAAGGCUAGCCUGCUCUAGUGUCAUUCCAGAACAUCCAGAGCUACCUAGGUCUUAUCUCAAACAAAUAAAUAAAUUUAGAAAACUCAAAAAUGUGAAACACUUUAUCUUAAGCAUUUUGGU